GAACGCUGGCGGCAUGCCUUACACAUGCAAGUCGGAGCGGGGUUUUCGGACCUAGCGGCGGACGGGUGAGUAAUGCGUAGGAAGCUACCCGAUAGAGGGGGAUACCAGUUGGAAACGACUGUUAAUACCGCAUAAUGUCUACGGACCAAAGUGUGGGACCUUCGGGCCACAUGCUAUCGGAUGCGCCUACGUGGGAUUAGCUAGUUGGUGAGGUAAUGGCUCACCAAGGCGACGAUCUCUAGCUGGUUUGAGAGGAUGAUCAGCCACACUGGAACUGAGACACGGUCCAGACUCCUACGGGAGGCAGCAGUGGGGAAUAUUGGACAAUGGGCGCAAGCCUGAUCCAGCCAUGCCGCGUGUGUGAAGAAGGCCUUCGGGUUGUAAAGCACUUUCAGCGAGGAGGAAGAGUUGUAUGUUAAUAGUACACAGCUUUGACGUUACUCGCAGAAGAAGCACCGGCUAACUCUGUG
rnacentral:rRNA from 1 species